AUGGCUAGUCCUCCUAUCCUUGUUAUUACUCCCGAACAUGAAAUUCUCAAUUUUAAGCAAAGGGAGGGAGAAAAUUUAAAAGAUGCUUGGCAUAGAAUUUGCAAUGCUCAAAAUAAAUCCACUAGGAAGCUUUCUACUUCUGUUCUUCUUCGCAAUUUUUAUGUAGGCAUUACUCCUUGGAAUAAAUGCAUUCUUAAUACCAUUGCCGGAGGGGAUUUCUUGAAUAGCCACACGUUUGAAGCUUAUAAUGCUAUGUUAGAUUUGUUUGGUCCACCACCUCUUUUGGUUAACAGAACUGUUUUAACUUUGGAACAUGUUAUGCAACGGCUCGAGAUCAUUGAAAAUAAAAUUGCCACUGUUGAGUUAAUUGAAAAUUUGGAUAAAAGAUUCAUAAUCAAAUUACCCAAUACAGAUCUAGGGUUGGAGUUACUUUGA
rnacentral:rRNA from 1 species